rnacentral:rRNA from 1 species
AACGAACGCUGGCGGCAGGCCUAACACAUGCAAGUCGAGCGAGGACUUCGGUUCUAGCGGCGGACGGGUGAGUAACGCGUGGGAAUGUGCCCUUCUCUACGGAAUAUCCCUGGGAAACUGGGAGUAAUACCGUAUACGCCCUAUUGGGGAAAGAUUUAUCGGAGAAGGAUCAGCCCGCGUUGGAUUAGGUAGUUGUUGGGGUAAUGGCCUACCAAGCCGACGAUCCAUAGCUGGUUUGAGAGGAUGAUCAGCCACACUGGGACUGAGACACGGCCCAGACUCCUACGGGAGGCAGCAGUGGGGAAUCUUAGACAAUGGGGGCAACCCUGAUCUAGCCAUGCCGCGUGAGUGAUGAAGGCCUUAGGGUUGUAAAGCUCUUUCAGCUGGGAAGAUAAUGACGGUACCAGAAGAAGAAGCCCCGGCUAACUCCGUG